GACGAACGCUGGCGGCGUGCUUAACACAUGCAAGUCGAACGCUGAAGCUCAGCUUUUGUUGGGUGGAUGAGUGGCGAACGGGUGAGUAACACGUGAGUAACCUGCCUCCUUCUUUGGGAUAACGCCCGGAAACGGGUGCUAAUACUGGAUAUUCACUGGUCUUCGCAUGGGGGUUGGUGGAAAGGGUUUUUCUGGUGGGGGAUGGGCUCGCGGCCUAUCAGCUUGUUGGUGGGGUGAUGGCCUACCAAGGCUUUGACGGGUAGCCGGCCUGAGAGGGUGACCGGUCACAUUGGGACUGAGCUACGGCCCAGACUCCUACGGGAGGCAGCAGUGGGGAAUAUUGCACAAUGGGCGCAAGCCUGAUGCAGCGACGCCGCGUGAGGGAUGGAGGCCGUCGGGUUGUGAACCUCUUUCGCUCAUGGUCAAGCCGCAACAAUGGUUGUGGUGAGGGUAGUGGGUAAAGAAGCGCCGGCUAACUACGUG
rnacentral:rRNA from 1 species